UGCCAGCAGCCGCUGUACUCCUGAUGGAUCUAUCGUUAUUCGUAAUUACUGGGCGUAAAGCGAGCGUAGGCUGAUUUGUAAGUUGGAUGUGAAAUCCCAGAGCUUAACUCUGGAACUGCAUCCAAAACUAUAUUUCUUGAGUUUGGUAGAGGAGAGUGGAAUUCCUAGUGUAGAGGUGAAAUUCGUAGAUAUUAGGAGGAACACCAGUGGCGAAGGCGACUCUCUGGGCCAAUACUGACGCUGAGGUUCGAAAGCGUGGGUAGCGAACAGGAUUAGAUA
rnacentral:rRNA from 1 species